rnacentral:snRNA from 1 species
GUGUUCACUUUGGCAGCACAUAUUCUAAAACUGGAAUGAUGUAGAGAAGAUCAGCUUGGCCCCUGUGCCAAGAUGACAUGCAAAUUUGUGAAAUAGUCCAUAUAUAA